rnacentral:rRNA from 1 species
AGCGAACGCUGGCGGCAGGCUUAACACAUGCAAGUCGAACGCCAUCUUCGGAUGGAGUGGCAGACGGGUGAGUAACGCGUGGAAACAUACCUUUUGCUUCGGAAUAUUCCCGGGAAACUGGGAGCAAUACCGAAUACGCCCUGAGGGGGAAAGAUUUAUCGGCAAAAGAUUGGUCCGCGUUAGAUUAGGUAGUUGGUAGGGUAAUGGCCUACCAGGCCUACGAUCUAUAGCUGGUCUGAGAGGAUGAUCAGCCACAUUGGGACUGAGACACGGCCCAAACUCCUACGGGAGGCAGCAGUGGGGAAUAUUGGACAAUGGGCGAAAGCCUGAUCCAGCCAUGCCGCGUGAGUGAUGAAGGCCCUAGGGUUGUAAAGCUCUUUCACCGAUGAAGAUAAUGACGGUAGUCGGAGAAGAAGCCUCGGCUAACUUCGUGCCAGCAGCCGCCGUAA